AGAGUUUGAUCAUGGCUCAGAGCGAACGCUGGCGGCAGGCCUAACACAUGCAAGUCGAGCGCCCCGCAAGGGGAGCGGCAGACGGGAGAGUAACACGUGGGAACGUACCCUUCAGUUCGGAACAACCUAGGGAAACUUGGGCUAAUACCGAAUACGUCCGCAAGGAGAAAGAUUUAUCGCUGAAGGAUCGGCCCGCGUCUGAUUAGCUAGUUGGUGAGGUAACGGCUCACCAAGGCGACGAUCAGUAGCUGGUCUGAGAGGAUGAUCAGCCUCACUGGGACUGAGACACGGCCCAGACUCCUACGGGAGGCAGCAGUGGGGAAUAUUGGACAAUGGGCGCAAGCCUGAUCCAGCCAUGCCGCGUGGGUGAUGAAGGCCCUAGGGUUGUAAAGCCCUUUCGGCGGGGAAGAUAAUGACGGUACCCGCAGAAGAAGCCCCGGCUAACUUCGUGCCAGCAGCCGCGGUAAUACGAAGGGGGCUAGCGUUGCUCGGAAUCACUGGGCGUAAAGCGCACGUAGGCGGAUCGUUAAGUCGGGGGUGAAAUCCUGGAGCUCAACUCCAGAACUGCCUUCGAUACUGACGGUCUUGAGUCCGGGAGAGGUGAGUGGAACUGCGAGUGUAGAGGUGAAAUUCGUAGAUAUUCGCAAGAACACCAGUGGCGAAGGCGGCUCACUGGCCCGGUACUGACGCUGAGGUGCGAAAGCGUGGGGAGCAGACAGGAUUAGAUACCCCUGUAGUCC
rnacentral:rRNA from 1 species